CGGCAGUGAUCAGACGACAUUUUGAAGGAGCAGAUCAACAGCGAGCAUGUUAAGAGUUUAAUGAAGAAAACUUUCGCAGUGUUUUCCCACUAAAGAGGAGCAGUUUAUUGAGGCAGAUUUUGAUAAAGAGAAUGGGUGCCAUACAUCAGACCUCACAUUAAAUCAGGGAUGAAACGAGAGAUGUCGUCCUCUGUUGCUGGUCUAUCUGUAUGAAUAAGAGGAAGAGCUCAUCCAGGAGUGCAAUUGUGGGAAUGCACAGAGAAUUGCUGUCUGUCAGAGGGAUGACCAACCAUGAGGACUUCUGCAUUGUCUUGGAGGAUAAGUGAGUCAUGGCUAGCCUGGAAAAUCUAGAAUCGCUGAACUGGAUUUAUACAAAUAUUCCACAAAUUAAAAUCACUUACAAAGAAAUGAAUAUUAAGUUUGCAAUACACAAAUUCUGUCAAAUAUUGUCUAAAAUGUGACUAUUCCUACAAAGGAAAGUUGACAGGUCAGUUUUUUCCAUGACAUGGAUAAAGGAAUUUUUAUCAGAGAUUAGCAUUGCUGUAAAUUUUAUAUAGAUUUGUUUAACAUAUUGUACCAUUUUGU